AACGAACGCUGGCGGCAGGCCUAACACAUGCAAGUCGAGCAGACCCUUCGGGGUUAGCGGCGGACGGGUGAGUAACGCGUGGGAAUAUGCCCUUCUCUACGGAAUAGUCUCGGGAAACUGGGGGUAAUACCGUAUACGCCCUUUGGGGGAAAGAUUUAUCGGAGAAGGAUUGGCCCGCGUUGGAUUAGGUAGUUGGUGGGGUAAUGGCCUACCAAGCCGACGAUCCAUAGCUGGUUUGA
rnacentral:rRNA from 1 species